UCUGGAUAUGAUCUAUCAUGCCUGCUCUAUCCAACACAGCUUUCUGUCCAGGGUCCAGCUUGGACAUCUCCAACAGACUGCUCUUUGUGGAGUUGAAGGAGGAGACACUACUUAAUCAAAGGAUGCGGCUCAGCUUAAUCACAGGAGUGAUUUGCAGAUAAAGCUUUAUGAAAGUUUGUCGGUGCUUUAAAGGGUCUAAUGGUUUGGCUGAAACAUCAGGCCAGUCAAACUCAAGGUAUAGGUUGGAGAUUUCGGUAGUGCUAGCAGUUGAGUUUAGUAGUGAUGGAAGAUUUGUUUUGUAACUAAACCAGGGAUCUAAACCAGAAGACUGCAACGGACUGUUAGGACCGCAGAAAGGAUCAUUGGUGUGCACCUACCCAGUCUUCAGGAAAGUGAAGAAACGGCCAGGUUCUCCUGUUCCUUGGGUGCUAUGGUUCAGAAAUGACCUGGAGAUUGAUAUGGAUCAAUCGGAGCAAGGAGUGUCUUUGGCUGAGAAUGGCUCUCUGGUGAUUGGCUCAGUUUCAGCCAGUCACAGUGGAGAUUUUAAGUGUGUGGCCACUAAUGAAGCAGGAUCAGUGGAGAGGAAGACCAGGCUAAAGAACAAUUGUGAGACUCUGACGUCACACUGAAGCAGCCCCUCACACUUGGAUGUGGUGCUUUCAGUAUCCCAACCCCAACCUUCACCUGGACUAAAGACAACACACCUGUAGGACUUUUCAUAAACAUUGUGUUAUGUAGCAAAUAAUGCUGUCAUCCUGUCAUUGUCACGAAAUAUAACCCAAUAGGAUUACCAA